rnacentral:lncRNA from 1 species
CAUUGCUGAGGGAGUUCGCCUCUGCCGUGUUUAUCUGGGGUGGAAGAGGAAGCCUGCAGGCAGCAUGAUGCAUGGGCGGCAAGGGCCGGCAUGAUGUCAUGGCGAGGGGGAACAGAGCCCGGCUGUGUCGCACACGCUGGGCAGGGAGCAGCCACCUUAUCAAUUAGGCACCAGCAUACAGAUACUGCUGCAACACAGAUGUCUGUGCAGAACAUCUCCAAGGACAGCUAUGAGCAGGCAUUUGCAAAUGGCCUGUAACUGCAGCCAAGACAUCCUCCUCUUCUGUUUUGGUUGGUCUGCUCCUCAUGUAUACGAUGCUGAAAAACAUUUCUUCUGCAGUGAUCUUCAGUGAGCCGUGUUUGAUGCAUGUGUUCUGAUGCAGCCCUAAUGUCAGGACCUAAACAGUUCUUCUCUCUGGUUUUGCUUGAUGCAUGAGGAAGAGGAAGGAAAAAACACCAUG